AAAUGUGAGGGCGAUCUGGCUGCAACAUCUGUCACCCCAUUGAUCGCCAGGGUUGAUUCGGCUGAUCUGGCUGGCUAGGCGGGUGUCCCCUUCCUCCCUCACCGCUCCAUGUGUGUCCCUCCCGAAGCUGCGCACUCGGUGGAAGAGGAUGACCAUCCCAGAUAGAAGGAGUGUACCGUUCUUCGGUCAAGGGUAUACGAUAGCUGCGCUCCCCUGCUAGAACCUCCAAACAAGUCGGGUAUUCCAUUCCAAGGGCUGCUGCUUUCAGUGGUGUAGAGCAUCUCUGCACUUUAAGUA